GUUAGUUGGGUUUUGGGUCAUUAGCUUAGGUUUGGUAUUCUGGGCUGAUGUAAUUUGGGUCAUUUUGGGUUUUAGGUUUAGUUGGGUUAUAAAUGGAUUAAUAGUUUGUAAAUGGACUGGACACUUAUUUGGUUUUAUUUAUUUUUUUUGGUAGGCCCGGGCUAAAAUUGGGUAUUACAGCUGCCCCUCUUUGCUCGUUAUUGUGUAACAGGAAUAGAG
rnacentral:lncRNA from 1 species